rnacentral:rRNA from 1 species
UUUAUUGAGAGUUUGAUCCUGGCUCAGGACGAACGCUGGCGGCGUGCUUAACACAUGCAAGUCGAACGAGAAUCUACUGAAAGAGUUUUCGGACAAUGGAAGUAGAGGAAAGUGGCGGACGGGUGAGUAACGCGUGAGGAACCUGCCUUGAAGAGGGGGACAACAGUUGGAAACGACUGCUAAUACCGCAUGACGCAUAGAGGUCGCAUGAUCUUUAUGCCAAAGAUUUAUCGCUUCAAGA